rnacentral:rRNA from 1 species
AUUGAACGCUGGCGGCAGGCUUAACACAUGCAAGUCGAGCGAACGGAGGACGGGUGAGUAAUGUCUGGGAAACUGCCUGAUGGAGGGGGAUAACUACUGGAAAAGGUAGCUAAUACCGCAUACCAUCAGAUGUGCCCAGAGGGGAUGAGCUAGUAGGUGGGGUAAUGGCUCACCUAGGCGACGAUCCCUAGCUGGUCUGAGAGGAUGACCAGCCACACUGGAACUGAGACACGGCCCAGACUCCUACGGGAGGCAGCAGUGGGGAAUAUUGCACAAUGGGCGCAAGCCUGAUGCAGCAAUGCCGCGUGUGUGAAGAAGGCCUUCGGGUUGUAAAGCACUUUCAGCGAGGAGGCGUUACUCGCAGAAGAAGCACCGGCUAACUCCGUGCCAGCAGCCGCGGUAAUAC